rnacentral:tRNA from 1 species
GCGGAUAUGGCGGAAUUGGCAGACGCGCACGGUUCAGGUCCGUGUGAAGGCUACUUCAUGGGGGUUCGAAUCCCUUUAUCCGCACCA